rnacentral:rRNA from 1 species
GACGAACGCUGGCGGCGUGCUUAACACAUGCAAGUCGAACGAUGAAGCUGGAGCUUGCUCCGGUGGAUUAGUGGCGAACGGGUGAGUAACACGUGAGCAAUCUGCCCUUGACUCUGGGAUAACUGCGGGAAACUGUAGCUAAUACCGGAUACGACACCUUGGGGCAUCCCAGGGUGUGGAAAGAAUUUCGGUCAAGGAUGAGCUCGCGGCCUAUCAGCUAGUUGGUGAGGUAAUGGCUCACCAAGGCGACGACGGGUAGCCGGCCUGAGAGGGUGACCGGUCACACUGGAACUGAGACACGGUCCAGACUCCUACGGGAGGCAGCAGUGGGGAAUAUUGCACAAUGGACGAAAGUCUGAUGCAGCAACGCCGCGUGAGGGAUGAAGGCCUCGGUGUAAGACNCUUCGUCCAGGGACGAGUAAUAGACGGU